rnacentral:snRNA from 1 species
AGCUUUGCGCAGUGGCAGUAUCAUAGCCAAUGAGGUUUAUCCGAGGUGCGAUUAUUGCUAAUUGAAAACUUAAUUGU